CACUAUCGUUAACUGAAUACAUAGGUUAACGAGGCGAACCGGGGGAACUGAAACAUCUAAGUACCCCGAGGAAAAGAAAUCAACCGAGAUUCCCCCAGUAGCGGCGAGCGAACGGGGAGCAGCCCAGAGUCUGAAUCAGCUUGUGUGUUAGUGGAACGGUCUGGAAAGUCCGACGGUACAGGGUGAUAGUCCCGUACACCAAAAUGCACAGGUUGUGAACUCGAAGAGUAGGGCGGGACACGUGGUAUCCUGUCUGAAUAUGGGGGGACCAUCCUCCAAGGCUAAAUACUCCUGACUGACCGAUAGUGAACCAGUACCGUGAGGGAAAGGCGAAAAGAACCCCGGCGAGGGGAGUGAAAAAGAACCUGAAACCGUGUACGUACAAGCAGUGGGAGCACCUUCGGGUGUGACUGCGUACCUUUUGUAUAAUGGGUCAGCGACUUAUAUUCUGUAGCAAGGUUAACCGUAUAGGGGAGCCGCAGGGAAACCGAGUCUUAACUGGGCGUUAAGUUGCAGGGUAUAGACCCGAAACCCGGUGAUCUAGCCAUGGGCAGGUUGAAGGUUGGGUAACACUAACUGGAGGACCGAACCGACUAAUGUUGAAAAAUUAGCGGAUGACUUGUGGCUGGGGGUGAAAGGCCAAUCAAACCGGGAGAUAGCUGGUUCUCCCCGAAAGCUAUUUAGGUAGCGCCUCGUGAACUCAUCUUCGGGGGUAGAGCACUGUUUCGGCUAGGGGGUCAUCCCGACUUACCAACCCGAUGCAAACUACGAAUACCGAAGAAUGUUAUCACGGGAGACACACGGCGGGUGCUAACGUCCGUCGUGAAGAGGGAAACAACCCAGACCGCCAGCUAAGGUCCCAAAGUCAUGGUUAAGUGGGAAACGAUGUGGGAAGGCACAGACAGCCAGGAUGUUGGCUUAGAAGCAGCCAUCAUUUAAAGAAAGCGUAAUAGCUCACUGGUCGAGUCGGCCUGCGCGGAAGAUGUAACGGGGCUAAACCAUGCACCGAAGCUGCGGCAGCGACACUAUGUGUUGUUGGGUAGGGGAGCGUUCUGUAAGCCUGCGAAGGUGACCUGUGAGGGUUGCUGGAGGUAUCAGAAGUGCGAAUGCUGACAUAAGUAACGAUAAAGCGGGUGAAAAGCCCGCUCGCCGGAAGACCAAGGGUUCCUGUCCAACGUUAAUCGGGGCAGGGUGAGUCGACCCCUAAGGCGAGGCCGAAAGGCGUAGUCGAUGGGAAACAGGUUAAUAUUCCUGUACUUGGUGUUACUGCGAAGGGGGGACGGAGAAGGCUAUGUUAGCCGGGCGACGGUUGUCCCGGUUUAAGCAUGUAGGCUGGUUAUCCAGGCAAAUCCGGAUAAUCAAGGCUGAGGUGUGAUGACGAGGCACUACGGUGCUGAAGUAACAAAUGCCCUGCUUCCAGGAAAAGCCUCUAAGCAUCAGGUAACAUUAAAUCGUACCCCAAACCGACACAGGUGGUCAGGUAGAGAAUACCAAGGCGCUUGAGAGAACUCGGGUGAAGGAACUAGGCAAAAUGGUGCCGUAACUUCGGGAGAAGGCACGCUGGUGUGUAGGUGAAGUCCCUGCGGAUGGAGCUGAGACCAGUCGAAGAUACCAGCUGGCUGCAACUGUUUAUUAAAAACACAGCACUGUGCAAACACGAAAGUGGACGUAUACGGUGUGACGCCUGCCCGGUGCCGGAAGGUUAAUUGAUGGGGUUAUCCGUAAGGAGAAGCUCUUGAUCGAAGCCCCGGUAAACGGCGGCCGUAACUAUAACGGUCCUAAGGUAGCGAAAUUCCUUGUCGGGUAAGUUCCGACCUGCACGAAUGGCGUAAUGAUGGCCAGGCUGUCUCCACCCGAGACUCAGUGAAAUUGAACUCGCUGUGAAGAUGCAGUGUACCCGCGGCAAGACGGAAAGACCCCGUGAACCUUUACUAUAGCUUGACACUGAACAUUGAGCCUUGAUGUGUAGGAUAGGUGGGAGGCUUUGAAGCGUGGACGCCAGUCUGCGUGGAGCCAACCUUGAAAUACCACCCUUUAAUGUUUGAUGUUCUAACGUUGGCCCCUGACCGGGGUUGCGGACAGUGUCUGGUGGGUAGUUUGACUGGGGCGGUCUCCUCCCAAAGCGUAACGGAGGAGCACGAAGGUUAGCUAAUCCUGGUCGGACAUCAGGAGGUUAGUGCAAUGGCAUAAGCUAGCUUGACUGCGAGCGUGACGGCGCGAGCAGGUGCGAAAGCAGGUCAUAGUGAUCCGGUGGUUCUGAAUGGAAGGGCCAUCGCUCAACGGAUAAAAGGUACUCCGGGGAUAACAGGCUGAUACCGCCCAAGAGUUCAUAUCGACGGCGGUGUUUGGCACCUCGAUGUCGGCUCAUCACAUCCUGGGGCUGAAGUAGGUCCCAAGGGUAUGGCUGUUCGCCAUUUAAAGUGGUACGCGAGCUGGGUUUAGAACGUCGUGAGACAGUUCGGUCCCUAUCUGCCGUGGGCGCUGGAGAAUUGAGGGGGGCUGCUCCUAGUACGAGAGGACCGGAGUGGACGCAUCACUGGUGUUCGGGUUGUCAUGCCAAUGGCACUGCCCGGUAGCUAAAUGCGGAAGAGAUAAGUGCUGAAAGCAUCUAAGCACGAAACUUGCCCCGAGAUGAGUUCUCCCUGAGACUUUAAGUCUCCUGAAGGAACGUU
rnacentral:rRNA from 1 species